CAAGUAUUCAGUACUAUUCUUUUUAUUAAAUGGAACACAUCAUAUCUAAUUAAAACGCAGGCUAAUUUUUAACUAUUUUUUAAAUCGUAGAGGACCAAGAAAAAAGGGGGAGAGUAAUUUCAAAAAGUCAUGAUUUUGAAUGAAAAGAAGCAUACGUACUAAUUUUCUUGAUAAAAUGGUAUAUAUUUUUUUACAUUGAAACAUAGCGCAUAAAGUAACUAAAGGCUGUUGAAAAAACAUUUAAAGGUGAGACACAAAAACAUAGAAUCCACGACAAACCCAAACAUAAGCAACCAGAAAUGCACGAUUCUGUCAUGUAUUUAUACAUCACAUUCAUGAAAUAACUCUCAUAUUAAAACACACAAAAAUGUCAGGGUUUCUAGAUCUUUAUUUUUUAAAAUUGUUUUCAACAACCGAAUCACCACAUUUUAAGGUCACUCAGAAGGUCAAUCCAUAGAAUCAUCAUCAGUUUGGUGACCUGCAUCUACCGAAUUAUCAUUAUCAUCAUUUACAUCAUCUUCGUCGUCAUCGUUAGCAAUAUCAACGAUUUGGUAAUCCUUAUAUCUACAAGCUUUCCAGCAUUAACAUACAGCUAUCUGUUCAACACAGUGUUGAACACAUGAACAUCUUUUGUUGGCACAACAAGCUUUACAUGAACAGCAC
rnacentral:lncRNA from 1 species